GCGGGGGAGCCGCGGCUCAAGGCACCGACAGUGGCCCCGCUCGAAGGCGGCGGCGGAGAAGGAGGGGGGCGCGGAGCAGCGGCUAAAGGCUCCCACAGUCCCCGCUUCCCACAUGCACUAGCAAAAUGGAGAUGGUUCCCAGCGGCGUGUAUGCUGGCAGGCUCACCGGGCACCUGUGCAGAGGGGAAGCCAACGGGUGACCUGUGAAAGUGACCUGACAUCCCUGGUUAAAAAGAAAAAGCACUGAAGAUACUUUGGAAAAAAAAUUAGUACUUCAAAAAGCAGUUUUAAUUUUUCAUGCUGUAUGUUCCACAAAACUCAAACCAUUUAGUCUGUUUGUGUUGUGCUGCUAUCAAAAAAUGA